rnacentral:lncRNA from 1 species
CCCUAUUCGUUGAAAGUACUCCAAAUAUUUUUGAGGUCGGUAUAUCUAGCCUUGAAACACUCAACUGGGCUGAUUUCCCCGAGCUGGACGAGGGUGUUGUUAUUAUUGUGAACCCUGCAUGAGGGCGCAGUUGUGCGUCUGGGAGACCCCCUCGGUGACGGAGUCGAGCGCCUUGUGUAGGGAGGAGAGAGCGCGAGAGAGAGGGACACGGAUGGAGGUGGGUGUGAUUAGAAUGCUUAUAAGCUGAGACAAUACGUGAAAACAUUUGAAUAUUUCUAUUUUUUUCGUGCUCUGCAACAGUUUAAGACAUUUUCGUUGCAACUUUAUAUCACUAAAAUUCCGGAAGGGGUCAAUAUCGUUACGUGAACGAUGAUUGUGUGUCUUUAUUGAAGCGAUAGGAUGCUGCGGCGACAGACGUAUGGCUGAACUUAAGCAAGCUAGUCCGCCGUAUGUUGAAAAGAAAGGCCAAUAUAGGUGGUGUGAAUGAAAGAAGAGGGCUUCUCUCUUGGAUGGACAUGUUUUGAGAGGUGUGGUGGAGGGAUGAAGGCGGUGUUGGCAUCCAGGCGGCAGCGGCUCUUCUAUCGGCUCUUCAUGUGUGCUGUCGGGAUCAUCGCAGUCACCUGCUUCGCUCAAAUCCUUCAUGUAACAGACGAAUCCGCGGUUUGAAGUGAACAAAGGACCAAGUUCUUACUGACACAGUCUGGAUCUUCAUUAAAAAUAAAGUUCAUCCACUAUUUCCUAAUGUUGGGAUCAGAAGGAACGCGAUGAAAAGACUGUUUCUCCACAACUCUUUCUUUCUUUCUUUCUUUCUUUAAAGGACAACACACAUUCAUCAACAUUUCUGUAAAUGUGCCAGUGUUAGCCAGCUGGAUAAUUUUCAACUGCAGUCCUUUGGCAAGAUGUUUAAAAUAACAACAAAAACAACAAAACAUCAGCACAAUAACUCAAUAACAUCAAAUAACAUUUCCACUAUUAGCCAUGCAAGCACACAAAGCGACAACACACAAACUUAGAUAGAUAAGAUGCAAGCAUGCUGGAAAAACAGUAAACAUAAAGCACAUCAGAUGCUAUUUUGAGUUAAUAAAAUAAAAACAAACACCUAAAUUGUUUAACAACACUAUAAAAAGCAUUCCAGAAAAUUAAUAAAAUACUAAUUAAAUAAUCCAAACAUACCCAAGCCAUGCAUUUAGCUG